rnacentral:rRNA from 1 species
UACGAAGGGGGCUAGCGUUGCUCGGAAUUACUGGGCGUAAAGCGCACGUAGGCGGCUUUCUAAGUCGGGGGUGAAAUCCUGGAGCUCAACUCCAGAACUGCCUUCGAUACUGGAAAGCUCGAGUCCGGGAGAGGUGAGUGGAACUGCGAGUAUAGAGGUGAAAUUCGUAGAUAUUCGCAAGAACACCAGUGGCGAAGGCGGACUCACUGGACCCGGUACUGACGCUGAGGUGCGAAAGCGUGGGGAGCAAACAGG